UAACACCUUCUACAGUAGGAUCAUUUCUAUAGGAAUCGUCACUCUUUGACUCUUCAAAAGAGCCACUGAAUCCAACUUGGUUGAUGAGUGACAAAACCUUUGUACCCAAGAGUGAGAAUUUAAAAUUACAUUUUUUGAAUAGCUUGGUCCGUAAUCCUUAGCGGUUCGGCCAUCUAAUUUAUUUCUUAAUUGAAAUUUUUGUUUUUGCCGUUUGCAUUGAAUGAACUUUUCCAAUUGUGGUUUAGUAAUUUCUAUCUUUUAAAUGGCGCGAUGAUCUUGACCCUUUCUAUGUACUCUUUAAUCAGAGGGAUGGAUAUUUUGGGUGGGUACAAAUGGCAGUCUGACAAGU
rnacentral:snoRNA from 1 species